rnacentral:rRNA from 1 species
UACGUAGGGGGCAAGCGUUGUCCGGAUUUAUUGGGCGUAAAGAGCGUGUAGGCGGCUAGGUAGGUCCGUUGUGAAAACUCGAGGCUCAACCUCGAGACGCCGAUGGAAACCAUCUGGCUAGAGUCCGGAAGAGGAGAGUGGAAUUCCUGGUGUAGCGGUGAAAUGCGCAGAUAUCAGGAAGAACACCAAUGGGCGAAGGCAGCUCCUCUGGGGACG